CUGACGUUAAUGUUAGCAUUAGCAAACUAUGUUAUUAUAACUUACAACUUCGGUGCAAGCUAAAUUGAGAUUUUACUGUUGAACAUUACAUAUUUUAAAAAUAACUGACCUGACGCCAGCUAGCUGUUACUCUUUUUUUUUACUAUCUUUCUUUAGAUAUUGAGCAGUAGUUUAUGGUUUAUUUUGACGUGACGGUGGUUAAUACUUUCUCAGUAACGUUAACAGUUAGCGGUCAGUGCAGUGCACAUGGGGCAAUGCUAAGAUACAUAUGAGGAGGAGCACAAGGCUAAGAGGAAGAUACAGAUGACGAGCAGGAGGAGCAGCCAUGUACAAGCAGUUCAGGCACACAUCAACCCCAGCCGGACAGCAGGUCUGUAGACUCCACAAUAGGACCAAGCCCUGAUCAACCACCCUCAUCCAGCAGUUUAGGGACAGAUACACAACAGAUAACCACCACCUCUGAAAGCACAAGUCCUGUCAUUGAGAGUCCAUCAGCAGGUGACAAUGUAGAGACCUGUGUGCCCCUUCCAACUGAUCCUGCUUUUUGGCCAAAGCGACAAAGUGACAUUGAAUUUGCAAAAAAAAAAAAAGUCUGGAUUAUUUUGAUAAUUUUUUUAUUUUGCUAUUCUGUUUACUGUUUACAAAGUCAGCAAAGCUGUGAAGAUUUUACUUUCUCUUUUUAGUGUUCUUAAGUUUUAUACUGUGAUGCUGCUAUUGUGUGUUAUUGGUAUUGAGUUAUGUUUGGUAAUAAAAAGUUAAACUGGCAAAAA